rnacentral:tRNA from 1 species
GAGGGUAUAGCUCAAGUGGUAGAGGGCACGCUUAGCAUGCAUGAGGUCCUGGGUUCAAUCCCCAGUACCUCCU